UACGUAGGUCGCAAGCGUUGUCCGGAUUUACUGGGCGUAAAGAGCGCGCAGGCGGCUGGUCAAGUCCGAUGUGAAAUCUCCCGGCUCAACUGGGAAACUGCAUCGGAAACUGAUCGGCUUGAGGAUGGGAGAGGGUAGUGGAAUUCCCGGUGUAGUGGUGAAAUGCGUAGAUAUCGGGAGGAACACCAGUGGCGAAGGCGACUACCUGGCCCAUUCUUGACGCUGAGGCGCGAAAGCUAGGGGAGCGAACGGG
rnacentral:rRNA from 1 species